GUGCCGCGGAGAGGACGGGAAGCGAAGCAAAGGCUUCUGAUACUCACAUCUUACAUCAUAGUGGUGGUGGCCGAGUCUGGCCUGUCAUACCGGGAAACUACCAUGACGCCGAUUGCAUAAUUUGUCUUGUAGAUCAUCACAUUUUGUCAUUUCCCCCCUCUUCUAUCUUACUAUUGUUCCCAAGUUUCUCUUUUCAAUUCACAUUAUGCUAUUUAUUGCAUAGUUUGGUUUAAUUCGCUUUUCUUUUUUUUUAUAUUCUGAUACAGAAGUUUCUUCUAAGACUAAAGCUACUUUUGUUUAUUACUUUUUUGUGUAUAGAUCUAUUUGCUGCAGCCUUUUUUCAUCCACUUGGAGUGAGUCGUUGGCGCUAUUAUUACUUUUGGUUGUUUUGGAGUAACUUUGACUUUGAUUGCAACAAACGUUCCUUGUUGAUGGAUUAUGUGCACAAGGAAGUAGCAGAUCUUCAUGGGACCUCCAGAUCAAAACUAUUGGUAUAUUCCAAAAUGUAAGUGUUUUUAUAGCUUUCUUUAAAUCAGUCACCCUUCUAAACCUUUAACAUCUAACACUAUUUAACUGCCUUCUAUAACAUAUCCUGUAGUGCUGAAAACCAUCAUGUGAGUGGUUGGCAGGCGCUCUGGUAUGGUUUACUCCUUCUUUCCUAAUAUAUAUUCAUCGUCAUUAUCUGUCCCCCUUCUCUUUGUUGUAUGUUACUCUCUAGAAGCACGUCUAAUCAUCGACACUGAUAUGGCCUACUUUUGCUGCCAGAUCUGUAAAACCUUUACUUACAGUAAUACAGACGAAACAAAACAAAACAAAAACAACAGCACAAACAUACAUACAUACUAAGGCAAAAAAA